AUGAGGUGACAAACAUCAGAUUCAAAAUUAGGGGACAGAGGUGACAAAAAUCCAUCCCAAAUUCAGAUGAUGAAGUGACAGAAAAGAGCCCCAAAAUCAGGUAUGAGGUGACAAAAAUCCAUCUCCAGAUCAGGUGAUGAGGUGACAAAUUCAGCCCCAAAACUAGGGGACAGAGGUGACAAAUUCAGCCCCAAAAUCAGGUGACAAAGUGACAAAAUUUAGAACCAAAAUCAGGUGACAAAGUGACAAAAUUUAGAACCAAAAUCAGGUGAUGAGGUGACAAACAUCAGAUUCAAAAUUAGGGGACAGAGGUGACAAAAAUCCAUCCCAAAUUCAGGUGAUGAAGUGACAGAAAAGAGUGCCAAAAUCAGGUGAUGAGGUGACAAAUUCAGACCCAAAAUCAGGUGACAAAGUGACAAAAUUUAGAACCAAAAUCAGGUGACAAAGUGACAAAAUUUAGAACCAAAAUCAGGUGAUGAGGUGACAAACAUCAGAUUCAAAAUUAGGGGACAGAGGUGACAAAAAUCCAUCCCAAAUUCAGAUGAUGAAGUGACAAAAAACAGCCCCAAAAUCAGGUGACAGGUGACAAAUUCAGCCCCAAAAUCAGGUGAUGAGGUGACAAACAUCAGAUUCAAAAUUAGGGGACAGAGGUGACAAAACCCCACCCCCAUGGGAUGCCAGGUGACAAAACCCACCCCAAAUCAGGUGCCAGGUGACAAAACCCACCCCCAUGGGGUGCCAGGUGACAAAACCCACCCCAAAUGGAUGCCAGGUGACAAAACCCACCCCAAAUCAGGUGCCAGGU